rnacentral:lncRNA from 1 species
UCCCCACCCCCACCCCCGCCACACACACACACACACACACAUACAGGGCACAAGGGGCUGGAAGGCAGGGCAGAGUCCAGGUUCUCUUUGGCCAUUUUUCUAUAGCCCAGAAGCUUUUCUGGGAUCCCCACCCCCAGUUUAGGGCUUGUGUCUUUGACCUCAGUGAGAUGAUCUGUGGCUGUCUGGGGCCAGGCUGAGAAACAGUGCCAGGAAUGCCAGCACUGGGUUUAAAGUAUUUAAAUCUUUUUUAACCCUUUCUUCUCAUGUUCUGCUAUCCUUGCACACCAAAGGCAGUGACUUUUGGCACCUUCAAGUUAGUUCCUGAUGAUUCAAAUUCCUUAUCACGCAACUGCAUAAAUGCCUGAACAUACAGAAUCUCUUUCAUAUGUUUUACCCCUCACAGACCAACUCCAACUACAAGAUUGUAUAAUAAUCCAGAAAGCUAUUCAAAAGCCAGAUUAUUACAGUAAAACAUUAUGUUAGACAGGCUUAUACCUAUAUUGGUGGUCUUUUCUUCAACUCAUUUCACCUUUGGCAGACCAACUGCAAUUGCAAGACUGUACAAAAAAGAAGCACUCAGAGACAAGCAGAGAGGAGCCCCGAAACCAUGGCCAAAACUAACAACCAAAGGGAAUUCCUAAGUCUAAGGCCAAUGAACAGAUGGAACCUAGAACAAAUCAAAAGGGAGUUCAUAUCCUUAGGCUCUUUUUAGGGAAGGGGGAGGGUAUCAGGGAUUGAACUCAGGGCACUCAACCACUGAGCCAGAUCCCCAGCCCUAUUUUGUAUUUUAUUUAGAGACAGG